CCAUUCUCAUGCUGCUAUAAAGAACUGCCUGAUAUUGGGUAAUUUAUAAAGAAAAGAAGUUUAAUUGACUCACAGUUCCACAUGGCUGUGGAGGCCUCAGGAAACUUGCAAUCGUGGUGGAAGAGGAAGCAAACCUGUCCUUCUUCACCCGGCAGCAGGACAGAGAUGUGCAGAAUGAAGCAGGAGUGAAAGGAGCAAAGGAAGUAAGAAGGGCUUGGGUCGGACGCGGUGGCUCAUGCCUGUAAUCUCAGCACUUUGGGAUGCCGAGAUGGGUGGAUCACCUGAGGUCAGGAGUUCGAGACCAGCCUGGCCAACAUGGUGAAACCCUCGUCACUACUAAAAAUACAAAAAAUUAGCUGGGCAUGGUGGUGGACACCUGUAAUCCCAGCUACUCGGGAGGCUGAGGCAGGAGAAUUGCUUGAACCCUGGAGGCAGAGGCUGCAGAGAGCCCAGAUCAUGCCACUGCACUCCAGCCUGGGCAACAACAGGAAAACUCCAUCUCAAACAGAAAAAAAUAAGAAGGGGAGGUGACCAAACAGAACUUCUCCAGUACAAGUCUGUCUGUCGUUCCAUUUGAUAUUGUAUUGUAGGCAUGAGCCCUGCCUUCCAGUUCCUUGGCAGUGGUGAAGUGGUAUGGAGCUGGGGCAGGGAGGUGGCGCAUUAUAGGACUGUGAGAACACUGCUCCUUUAUACAUAAAAUUCCUACCCAGUGGAUCACUUGAGGUCAAGAGUUUGAGACCAG